UACAGAGGUCUCAAGCGUUGUUCGGAUUCAUUGGGCGUAAAGGGUGUGUAGGUGGCGCGCUAAGUCGGGUGUGAAAUUUCGGAGCUUAACUCCGAAACUGCAUUCGAUACUGGCGUGCUUGAGGACUGGAGAGGAGACUGGAAUUUACGGUGUAGCAGUGAAAUGCGUAGAUAUCAGGAGGAACACCUGCGGUGUAGACAGCUUGCUGGACCAUAACUGACGCUGAGGCACGAAAGCGUGGGUAGCAAACAGG
rnacentral:rRNA from 1 species